CAUGGAGGUCUCCAAGAUUUUAUUCACUAUUGGUCAGGCUGUUAAUAUAUGUAGACAGAGUAAACUGGCCGUGGAAAAUAUUUAUGAUAUACAAACAACAAUAGGUCGUAAAAAAUUACCUUAUAAAAGUAUGGAAUUGUUCCUGUUGAAAUCAAAACUGAACGAACUGAAAUUUUCUGUCUGUGGCUUCUUUCCCCUUGAUUGGACAUUGAUUUAUUCGAUGGUAGCUGGCAUAACCACAUAUUUGGUUUAUUUGAUUCAAUUCAGAGAAAUGGAGGGAAGUA